rnacentral:lncRNA from 1 species
UAGGUGGUGAGCAGUUCUCUUUUCUGUAGUUCCACAUAAACGACAGUUAUAGUCUGGGUCCAUUAUUUACCAUAUCUGUUGACAAAAAAAGACUAUAUUGGAUUUGUUUUAAAGGGUUGAAGGGUAGAAAAAGCACAUCAUAAGUUGUGAUUGAAAGUUGUUUGUCUUACGUCCAGUGGCAUGUAUUUCAUUCAUAUUCGGGACUGUACAUAUUGAAAAUUGAGCCGAUUUAAUCAAGAUUUAAAAAAAGACAAUUUGAUUAUAGAGCAAUUAUAAGACUUACUCCAAAUCCAGGGUUGGUAUAACACCAUGUUAAAUAAGGCUUUACGUAUAUAAUUAUAUAUGAAAUAUCC